GCUUAACACAUGCAAGUCGAGCGGGGAAGGGUAGCUUGCUACAUGACCUAGCGGCGGACGGGUGAGUAAUGCUUAGGAAUCUGCCUAUUAGUGGGGGACAACAUUCCGAAAGGAAUGCUAAUACCGCAUACGCCCUACGGGGGAAAGCAGGGGAUCUUCGGACCUUGCGCUAAUAGAUGAGCCUAAGUCAGAUUAGCUAGUUGGUGGGGUAAAGGCCUACCAAGGCGACGAUCUGUAGCGGGUCUGAGAGGAUGAUCCGCCACACUGGGACUGAGACACGGCCCAGACUCCUACGGGAGGCAGCAGUGGGGAAUAUUGGACAAUGGGCGAAAGCCUGAUCCAGCCAUGCCGCGUGUGUGAAGAAGGCCUUUUGGUUGUAAAGCACUUUAAGCGAGGAGGAGGCUACUUGGAUUAAUACUCUAGGAUAGUGGACGUUACUCGCAGAAUAAGCACCGGCUAACUCUGUGCCAGCAGCCGCGGUAAUACAGAGGGUGCGAGCGUUAAUCGGAUUUACUGGGCGUAAAGCGUGCGUAGGCGGCUUUUUAAGUCGGAUGUGAAAUCCCUGAGCUUAACUUAGGAAUUGCAUUCGAUACUGGGAAGCUAGAGUAUGGGAGAGGAUGGUAGAAUUCCAGGUGUAGCGGUGAAAUGCGUAGAGAUCUGGAGGAAUACCGAUGGCGAAGGCAGCCAUCUGGCCUAAUACUGACGCUGAGGUACGAAAGCAUGGGGA
rnacentral:rRNA from 1 species